rnacentral:lncRNA from 1 species
UAAAACAUUUAUUAAAAAUUAUAUUGUAACUAUUUGAAUAAAAUAAAAAUAUUUAAUAAAAUAUUCUAAUUUCUUGUAAAACAAUAUUUAUAGAGUCAUCAGUAAAUAAUUUUAAUAAUGUAAAAGCUAAAUAAAUUCAUACGUACUAUAAUACAAAUAACUGGGAUAUGAAAUUUACUUUACAGUGACUCGUGGGCCCACAAGGAACAAAAGUGCACAAAGGUAGUAAACCUACAGUUUUUGGAGUAGUAAAGCCGACUAUAAUCCUUGACGAUAUCUACUAUCCACAGGCUACCUCGGGCCUGAAAUGAUUGAAAAUGAGGGUGGUGAGAUUAUAAAAUCUCAGUGAGUAAAUAGGUACCAUCUAAACCAUCUAAAGUCGAGUAAAUGGAGACAGAUAAAACAGUUUAACAUACUAAAAUUCAUCACCUUUCAACUUGUUUCAACCAAAUAAAAUUAAUUCAUAUAAAUCGAGUAAUUAACAUGACUUAUGAAUUUCUUAAAAGCUUUGGCUCGUGUCAAAAUCAUUAUCAUACUCAGUCAUCAGGGAUACCUUGGCUGAGGGCUAUCCCAAACCGAGUCCUCCAAGGUUGUUAAAAAGUUAUGUACGCAUAAAUCAUGUAUUUAUUUUGAAAACAUAGCCGUUCCUUGGCGUUGGCGAAGUUCCCCUCACAUGGUGGUUGGGCGUGAAGUGAACUCUAAAGUUUGACCUCGGGAGUUAUCCUACAUGCCUCUCUAAUCGAGGUACAUAUAUAUGACCAGGUUUUGUGCCCCUCUAAUAGGUUGGUCCAUAGAACCAGCCCACUACAGCAAGCUAAACCCACCAUACAAUAAAAUUUGCAAUAGCAUGACAUGGCAAUUAUUUUAUUUUACACCCUCUCAAGGCAAAUUAACAGUUCAUACAUUUUCAACACAAAUACUAAUUCAGCCAUUCAUGCAAAUAUUAUCAUAAUCCAUUCAAUUCAAACCAUGAUUUAUAACACAGCAAUUAGUCUCCAAUUACUCCAUUUUCAAAACCAUCUUUCAAUUUCAAGACAAUAUAUAAAAUCAUUUCAUUUAAACACAUUCUGUUUAUAAAACCUAAAAAUUUACCAUUUAAACUCAUUUUCCAUAAAAUCACAAAAUCGGAUAAAAACCACUUUAGAUAAUUAAGACGAUAGUAAGGUUACUCACAGUACUGGGAGUUUGAUAUACUCCUAUUCCCGAUCUUCGGGCACAAUCUCUUUACCCUUGUUAGAGGGCUCACCACUUAUACAUCAUACGUGACACGAAUUUAAAUAAAUUGUGUCAAUUUAUCAUAAACUAUUUCAGGCUCUAUAAAUCUAUAUGAAUGCACGAAAUGUGAUGCAAAAUGUUUGAAUAGCCGUUUAAAUACGGUAUUCGACCUAAUUCGCACUAUUCUCGGUGUAAUUAGCUAAAAUCUCUAAUUUAACUCCAAAUCGAUUUCUUUCACUUUCUACACUCCAAUUAUACUUAAAAUACCUCAAUGAUUGUGAAUAUGAUUCAAUUUAUCAGUCCGAACCAUAAAUCGCACAUGUCUAUACAUUAGGUAAAAAUUUGGAUCUUCAUGCCAAAAUUUCCCAUUAAAUUUCUAGCCUCACCAAUCAUUAAAUACCACCAAAAUGUCAUGAAAUAUCAUCAAUUUCAGCCUCAAUAUCCUCCCUAGAAAAUUCAGCCUCUUGUGGGUUUGUGAAGAACAAAGUGAUUCCUUGCUAGAUUUUCAUACUUUCCAUUACCAAACAACCAAAAACACUUAAUUAGCUUGAAAUCUAGCAAAAUCAAUGCUCAAAACCUCUCCUCUCAAAUUCGGCCAGCAUGGGUUCAUCAUGCAAACUUGAGUUCUAAGCAUGGAAAAUGAAAAAGAAAGCAUGGGUAGUGUAAAUCACAAGAUAAAAUCACAAAAUUUUACCUUUAUUAGCUUAAUCCCUUGAAAUCCCACACUUUUUCUUCAAUUUUCCCACCUAGGGUUUGUGUUCUUUCCUUUC